GACGGAGGAUGCAAGCGUUAUCCGGAAUCACUGGGCGUAAAGCGUCUGUAGGCGGUUUAAUAAGUCAACUGUUAAAUCUUGAGGCUCAACCUCAAAAUCGCAGUCGAAACUAUUAGGCUAGAGUAUAGUAGGGGUAAAGGGAAUUUCCAGUGGAGCGGUGAAAUGCGUAGAGAUUGGAAAGAACACCGAUGGCGAAGGCACUUUACUGGGCUAUUACUGACGCUCAGAGACGAAAGCUAGGGUAGCAAAUGGG
rnacentral:rRNA from 1 species